UACGGAGGGUGCAAGCGUUAUCCGGAUUCACUGGGUUUAAAGGGUGCGUAGGCGGGCAGGUAAGUCAGUGGUGAAAUCUCCGGGCUUAACCCGGAAACUGCCGUUGAUACUAUCUGUCUUGAAUAUCGUGGAGGUAAGCGGAAUAUGUCAUGUAGCGGUGAAAUGCUUAGAUAUGACAUAGAACACCGAUAGCGAAGGCAGCUUGCUACACAAUCAUUGACACUGAGGCACGAAAGCGUGGGGAUCAAACAGG
rnacentral:rRNA from 1 species